rnacentral:rRNA from 1 species
UACGAAGGGGGCUAGCGUUGCUCGGAAUCACUGGGCGUAAAGCGCACGUAGGCGGCUUUCUAAGUCAGGGGUGAAAUCCUGGAGCUCAACUCCAGAACUGCCUUUGAUACUGGAGAGCUCGAGUCCGGAAGAGGUGAGUGGAACUGCGAGUGUAGAGGUGAAAUUCGUAGAUAUUCGGAAGAACACCAGUGGCGAAGGCGACUGACUGGACAAGUAUUGACGCUGAGGUGCGAAAGCGUGGGGAGCAAACAGG